UACGUAGGGUGCAAGCGUUAAUCGGAAUUACUGGGCGUAAAGCGUGCGCAGGCGGCUUUGCAAGACAGAUGUGAAAUCCCCGGGCUUAACCUGGGAACUGCAUUUGUGACUGCAAAGCUAGAGUACGGCAGAGGGGGAUGGAAUUCCGCGUGUAGCAGUGAAAUGCGUAGAUAUGCGGAGGAACACCGAUGGCGAAGGCAAUCCCCUGGGCCUGCACUGACGCUCAUGCACGAAAGCGUGGGGAGCAAACAGG
rnacentral:rRNA from 1 species